UACGUAGGUGGCAAGCGUUGUCCGGAUUUACUGGGCGUAAAGAGCGCGCAGGCGGUCGAGUAAGUCGAAUGUGAAAGCCCCCGGCUUAACCUGGGGGAGGGUCAUUCGAUACUGUUCGACUUGAAGGCAGGAGAGGGCAGCAGAAUUCCCGGUGUAGUGGUGAAAUGCGUAGAUAUCGGGAGGAACACCUGUGGCGAAAGCGGCGCACUGGACCACAACUGACGCUGAGGCGCGAAAGCCAGGGGAGCAAACGGG
rnacentral:rRNA from 1 species